ACGCUGGCGGUAGGCUUAACACAUGCAAGUCGUGCGAGAAAGUAUCUUCGGAUAUGAGUAGAGCGGCGAACGGGUGAGUAACGCGUAGGAAUGUACCUAGUAGAAGGGGAUAGCCCGAGGAAACUCGGAUUAAUACCGUAUACCUCCUUCGGGAGAAAGAGGGCCUCUCUUUGAAGCUUUCGCUACUAGAUCAGCCUGCGUAAGAUUAGCUUGUUGGUGAGGUAAUGGCUCACCAAGGCUACGAUCUUUAGCUGGUCUGAGAGGACGAUCAGCCACAUUGGGACUGAGACACGGCCCAGACUCCUACGGGAGGCAGCAGUGGGGAAUAUUGGACAAUGGGCGCAAGCCUGAUCCAGCCAUACCGCGUGUGUGAAGAAGGCCUUCGGGUUGUAAAGCACUUUAAGCAGGGAGAAAAAAAUAUAGGUUAAUACCCUAUGUUCUUGAUGUUACCUGCAGAAUAAGCACCGGCUAAUUCCGUGCCAGCAGCCGCGGUAAUACGGAAGGUGCAAGCGUUAAUCGGAAUUACUGGGCGUAAAGCGCGCGUAGGUGGUUUGUUAAGUUGGAUGUGAAAGCCCUGGGCUCAACCUAGGAACUGCAUCCAAAACUGACUGACUAGAGUACGAUAGAGGGAGGUAGAAUUCAUAGUGUAGCGGUGGAAUGCGUAGAUAUUAUGAAGAAUACCAGUGGCGAAGGCGGCCUCCUGGAUCUGUACUGACACUGAGGUGCGAAAGCGUGGGUAGCGAACAGGAUUAGAUACCCUGGUAGUCCACGCCGUAAACGAUGACAACUAGCUGUUGGGAGGCAAUGCCUUUCAGUGGCGCAGCUAACGUUUUAAGUUGUCCGCCUGGGGAGUACGGCC
rnacentral:rRNA from 1 species